rnacentral:lncRNA from 1 species
UUUUUAUCAGCAAUGAAUAAAUAAAAUUAAAGGGAUAUUUCAGGGGUAUCCCAACCCAUUACAAUAAUCAGAAGUGAACUUCCUAUCAUCCACAAAAGAAACUCUCCUUUAUGGUUGGAGCAGAACAACCUUAAAGUGAGAAGACCAUACCCAAAAAUAUAACCAACAUGUUACCUCAAAGCAAUAUUCAACUUUACCGAAACACCCAUAACCGAGGCCACCUACAUUCACCUCGUCGAGCGACGAUUUACCCAUGCACAUUGCAUAACUUCGGUGACCACCGACUACACACAUAUGGAGAACGCCGCUUCCUCGACCGGCGAUCUUGUUGACCUUUGCAUAACUUCGACGACCACCGACUACACACGCAUGGAGAUCGUCGUUACAUCGACAGGCGAUCCGCUUCAUCAACCGACGAUCAUGUUGACCUUUGCAUACCUUCGACGACAACCGACUACGCACGCAUGGAAAUCUUCAUUUCAUCGACCGGCGAUAUGUUGACCUUCGACAUGUUUAUGUUUAUGUUCAUGUUUAUGUUGUUCUUCUUAUAUCAACAAGUUCAACCUUACUAACAAGUUCAUUGGUUGCUUCUUCAAUAACCACUGGUAUCAUAGCGGAGUUGGGAACUUGGUUGGUGAGGUUGUUCAAGUUCAACGAGAGAUUGACGAUAGCGUUACUCGAAAGGUUUCUUAUGAACUCUAUCGGGAUUUGACACCAAAAAAAAUUGUUGCAGGAGAUGUUUAGGUAACAUAUGGUAUCCACUGUUGGAAAGGUCUAGAACUUGAAGAUGGUCAAUGGAACCCAGAUCGAAG